AUUAUUUUUCGGGUUAACAUUAAGCUGACACGUACCCUUUUUAAUUCUUUGUUUCAUGCUGCCUCUUUUUUGUGUGCAGUUUGGUGUUACAUAGCGAUUUUGAUUGUAGAUCUUCCUUUACUUGUGAACUGUUUGGGUGGUUUGGUGGUGUAGCCAUAGCUGGUGCAUGAUUGGAGCGGUUGUGGACCAUGCGGUUGUGCGCUGGAAGUCUUCCAGGAUGCCACGAUUUGUCACCGCUCAGAUUAAUCCCCCAUCCUCUCAGCCUUAUCCAUUUACGGGCUCCAUCCCUGCACUCAUUAUUUUCUCCUCUCUCUCUAAAUCGCCAUGGAAGGCAGAAGAUCAGCGGGAGGAGGCGCAUCGAGGGAGGCUCCGAGAGGCUACAGCCGACGAGCAUGCCGCGGGAGGCUCCGCUAGGCCGUCGGCGACGAGCGUGCUGAGGCACGUCACAGGAGGAUCCAUGGGGACGCCUCCGACGAGCGCGAGGAGAGCUGCGCUAGGCCGCCGUCGAAUCCAUCAUCGAGCAUUAGCCGUGAGGAGGAGGCGCAUCGCGGGGAGGACUUCGCCAGCAGGACACCAUUGACUCCCCUACGCCGCUGCCGACAAGCUCGAGGAGGAGGCGCGACGCGGGGAGAGCUGCACAAGGUGUUGACUCCACCACGCCGCCGCUAACGAGCUCGAGGAGGAGGAUGUCGCCGCUGACAAGAACAUGGAGGCAGCACAUGACAAGGUGGGGAGGACUUCGCCAGGACGUCAUCGACUCCGCCAUGCCGCCGCCGAUGAGCUCGAGGAGGAGGUGUGAUGCGGGGAGGGCUGCAGAAGGCCACUAUGGACUCCACUACGCGGCUGCUAACGAGCUCGCGGAGCAGGCCGCCGCCACCGAGAAGAGGAGGCAGCACAUGACAAGGCCGGUGCUUGGCGUGAUUACUACAUGGACUAUAAGCUACACCGUCGAUCGAUGAUUGCUGCCAAGGCCCGAGAUGAGGAGCACGUGAACUUGAUUGGCCCCAUUCUGAGGCCUUGAAUUGUGUUCUGCCAGCCACCUGGUAUGUUGAAAUUCAUGCAUAUGGCAAGAAUUACCUUUAUUUAUUAUUUCUAUCGACCAUCAACAUGAGAAUCUUGUAAUGUGUACUGGUUUUACUCGAGAGAUGGUAAUUUCUCUGUAGAUAAGUAGUGAACGUCCCAUGACUUUUUGCGUUUUUUUCCAUCAAAGGAAUAUAUGUAUCCUACAAGUCUGGAACAUUAAUUAUUUUUAUGCUAAAUUAGCGGAAUCAUUUGGGUCUAAGCUUUGUACAACUGCAACUCCUUGUGAGUGUUGGAAUAUGCCCCACUUUCGGCGCGCUGCCUGUGGCUGAGGAUUACUUCGAUGAGCGGAAGCUGUGCAUGAAAUUCAAUCCCCUUUACCAGUUAGAUAUGAUGCACAACGCCGUUGGGGGUAUGAUUUAAAAUUAUUGUGUCAGAAAUGCUAAUAAUGAUGUUGACUGGUCCAUGAUCUUUUGUUGGUUUGUAUGUCAAAUAAUGUCUCAACUUAUUGACAUGUUGUUUAUGUGACCAGACCAACCUGUAACAGCGUAUGUGACCAGUAAUACAGUGGUUCAAUUUCAAAGGCCAACAAUAUCGUAUGUGACCUAUUACAAAUAUUUCAUCCAUAUUUUCCUUCCUGGUAUUAUUAUCAGAGUAGAAAAGCUAGCACAAAGAAAGAUGUUACUUGAUUCUAAGAAGGCUGUUGUUUCUAGAUUGUUGGUGUUCAUUAAGGUAAGGAAGCAUGCCUCCUUUUUGUGGUAGAAAAUUUUGACUCAUUAUUUCUAUGGGAAAGAUUCAAUGGUCUGCCUUUUUUUUCUUAUUUUCCUAGGUUUAGAGUUGUAUUCGUUUCUUGCACACAAAUAAUAGCCUGUGAGGUGAGCUACCUUUUGGUAAAUACAUCAUGGUGUCUAUCUAUCGUUCUGGAGGUGGUAUGAUUUACUUUAGAAGCCAGUCUUCAAAUAUCAUUAAGUUUGAUCACACGCAUCACUGUUUUAUCAUGCACCCGAAUCUUGCAUUCAACUAGAUAACCAUUGCUCUAUAUUGAACUAACAUUUUCUUUCAUAAGGUUAAUAUGUCUGCCAGUAUGACUUAAUGGAGAUUGAGGAUUUUGACAAUUAUUUAGUUCUGCUGUAACUUUGUUAUCUAAUCUUUUAAGAAAUAUAUUUGGAGGCCGUGUUUAAAUCUCUACCACUAUUACAUAGAUGGAGUUUCGGGAAUAUUACGAUUCGGUUUUGUUGUGGUUGUGGUUUUAAAGGCGUCGCGUUGGCGUCGCCUCAGCGUCCAGGCGCUCCCCUUCCGCCUUAGAAAAACGCCCGCCUUAGGCGCCUAGGCGCCCAAGGCGUCCGCCUAGACGUCGCCUAAGCUUCAGAGCCCCCCCUUCGCCUUAGGACGCCUUGGCGCCUUUAAAACCAUGGUUGUGGUUGCAUGUUAUCAUGACUUUCAAAGAAACAAUUUAGUAGGUUUUGCUUCCAGGGAGUAUCUGAUUUGGUGCAUCUGGAGCGGUUUUGCAUAGCCUGGUGGUCAGCCUAAACUAAAUAUACUGUUCUAUGUAUUUAAAUCUUCAUUGAGAAUACUAGGCUUGCUUUUAAGUUGGAAAUCUUGCUAACUUGUGCAAGUUUGAUAUUAAGAACGAUGCUUAGCUUUUCUUAUAGAAUAAUCCAACAAGUAAAAUUUACCAAUCCAGUGGUACUUACUCAUAUGGCACCCUAUAACUCUGGCAUGCUGGUCUAUUGUCUGUAAUACGUAGCAAAAUAAAUUAGCAAGGGUCCUUUGUUAGGUAUCUCACAUCUAUCCAUUGUGCUUUUACAAUUACAAGAUUUCUAUAUUUAGAUUUUGAGCGUACACUACGCUCUCCAUACUUGGGGAGAUUCUAUUUUGCAUGCAAUAAGAUUGGGGACAAUUCAUCUUUGUUUCUAUAGUUUCCUCGAGUUGCAUCUUCAAAAUAUAUAUGGUCUACAUGGUCUACCACUGUAUUUGUGAUCUACAUUUUGCACUCAUAAAUUAUGCUGGCUAAUACGAAUACUUCAUUCAUCCAUACAAAAAAUUCGUCCGUUGUUGGUCAGGGACAUCACUGCCUAUUAGUAAGUACAUAAUAUUUUUACAUAGAGUGGUGCUGGACUACUGGGAAAUGGAUGAUGACCUUUGAGCCUCAGGUAAUCUUGGACAUUGUUUCCAUAUUCUGAUUUGACACGGAUUUCUAAACAAUGAUUGCUACUUUGAAUUAGAUUAGGUAGUCAAUUACAUUUUGUUUUCUUAGUAGUGUUAGAACCUUAAAAAUUGCAUUGCCUUUGGUUUUUACCUUUAAACGGCAGGUGCAUAUGAACGAACUAGACCUACCUAUCUGCCAUCCAUGCAUGUAAGCGCCCUUUUUUCUUUCUUUUUUAUUCUGCCUACAACAGAGCUGACCAUGCAUUGUUGGGUCCCUUUCUCAUGUGCGCAUCUGCUUAGUCCUUAGACUGCCCUCAAUAACUCAAUUGUGCAUCUGCUAAGUGUUCUUUCUUGACUCUUUGCCGUUAAUGAUACACAAUAGUAAUGGAGGUAUGAUUGAUUAAUUCGUACAAUCGUACCAGGGUUACAUUUUUCUUGGACAAGGAGAAGUGCCGGUCACCAAUUCUGUUUCAGCUCAAGCACAAUAUACAUAGUGAAUUACAUAGGCUGCAACUUUUUCUGGAUUUAGAGCAGCACAAAUAGGGCAUUGGCUACUGCUAUGAGCUGGACAAUUGUAUCUAAAGAUAGGCUUUGAAUCAUUGCUAUUGGGGGCUUGAUGUGCACAGUCAGGACAAACCAAACUGAGGUCUCUUUUUUUGUAAAAUAUUGCAGGCUGUAGUUGAGCAAGAUCCUGAAAGAAGGCAAGGACACUCUAAUUUCCCACAGUCACCUGUUGCACGGAAAUGGAGUUUGUUGAAGCUCUAGGGAGGCUAAGAGUUCUUUUUUUUGGGUAGUGAGGGAUUCUCGGUAAGCAAAGUGACUAGCAGAGUAUUUUUCAUGAACUAUAUGAACUCUUAUUUUCACAGCUGAAGGCACGAACCAUAUGUAUUGGUAGAUGACA